rnacentral:rRNA from 1 species
GACGAACGCUGGCGGCGUGCUUAACACAUGCAAGUCGAACGGAAAGGCCCUGCUUUUGUGGGGUGCUCGAGUGGCGAACGGGUGAGUAACACGUGAGUAACCUGCCCUUGACUUUGGGAUAACUUCAGGAAACUGGGGCUAAUACCGGAUAGGAGCUCCUGCUGCAUGGUGGGGGUUGGAAAGUUUCGGCGGUUGGGGAUGGACUCGCGGCUUAUCAGCUUGUUGGUGGGGUAGUGGCUUACCAUGGCUUUGACGGGUAGCCGGCCUGAGAGGGUGACCGGACAAGUUGGGACGGAGAUACGGCCCAGACUCCAACGGGAGGCAGCAGUGGGGAGUAGUGCACAAUGGGCGGAAGCCUGAUGCAGCAACGCCGCGUGCGGGAUGACGGCCUUCGGGUUGUAAACCGCUUUCGCCUGUGACGAAGCGAGAGUGACGGUAAUGGGUAAAGAAGCACCGGCUAACUACGUG